GCUGCUCACUUUGGCAAACACUAAAACGGGAACGAUGCAGACAGGUUCGGCAUGGCCCCUGCACUAGGACGACAUGCAAAUGUGUGGAGCGCUCCCUAUUCUU